rnacentral:lncRNA from 1 species
CAAUGCACGAAUUCAAUGCAUAUAUAAAAUUAUUUAGAAUAUAAUACAUUUGUAAUAUGUGUAAUAUAUUACAUGCAUCAAAGUUAUUGUAAUACCUAAAUUUACCCGGCCUACAUGAAGUAAAUAAAACGGCCCAGAAUACAUGGCCCAUUUUUAAACAAGGGCCCAAAUUACAGUUGGCCUAUAUGGCUCGGACCCAAAACAAGACGGAGGCCCAGCGUUUCCAGCACAAGGGAAACCCUAGGCAGUUUUCCACAUUCGCACCGCAGCCGAAGUCCCUGCACGAGUCGCAUCCCCGAUCAUACCUGCACAACAAGGAAAGAAGCAAAGCAGAUAUGGCAAGAAAAUCUCAAAAUCAAAUCAAGCAGAUAUUGGAAGAUUUUUUUUUUAUUUUAUUUCUUUCUUUUCGUCUUGUUUCACGAUUGCUAUAAAAGCGAUCUUAACAUACUAUAAUAGAGAGGGGGCAAAAAAAGAAAUCAAUAAAAAACAAGUAUUUUUCACAACAAAAUAACAGAGAAGCGCAAUACGGAGAGCAAACAUUGAUCAAAAGGUUGAUAUUCACCAUUUCCAUCUACUGUUAUUUAUUAUUAUUAUUUAUCUACUUACAAAUAAAACAAAUAAAAAAAGAAAACCAACUUUUUUUUUAUUUUUGGAACGAAGGGGGGGUGAUAUCAAAACCUAUUAAAAAACAGAGAAUUAAAGAGCAAUUUGAAGGUCUUUUUUCUUUUUUUCCUCGAUUUAUUUCCUUUUUCUUUUGUUUUGCUUUGUUUUUUUCUUCGCAAAUCAAAGAGAAAUAAAGGGGAAACCAUACCUGGGUGAUGUGCUCUCGAAGCCCUUCCCUGUUCUGUGCGAAAUGAAGGAAAAAUGAGAGGUUUUGGGAAGAAACGGCGCACGCAGGAGAGAAAUAACUU